AUCCAGGAGGCUCUCUUCAAAGGAAGUCCAACUCAGACCAGCUCAUAAGAGAAAUCUCAAGAUUUGACCUGAAGGAUAAUUAUUCAUCUUACCCAUUACCAUGGAAACUGCAAUGACUUCUUGUGGGAGAAAUAUACCUCCGUGUGUCAACUGAUAUCGGUCUUAGUCAUGUGACUUGCUUUAGUCAAAAGCAUGUGUGACUCAUGCCACAUCCAAGCAGAAGCUUUAAGAGCCAUGAUGAGUGUCUCUUGCUCUUUUUCUUUAGGCCUGAAAAAGACAUGUUUCAAAUAAAAGCUGCUCCUUUAUCUGGAUCCUGGAAUAAGAGGAUAACACAGAGCCACAGCUGAUCCUCAGACACUUUUGUUAUUCUAAAUUACUGAGAUUUACGAAUCAUUUGUUACCAAAGCAUAGCUGACUUAUACAUCAAUAAAUUGCUUUUGAUGCACAAA